rnacentral:rRNA from 1 species
AGCGAACGCUGGCGGCGUACUUAACACAUGCAAGUCGAACGAGGGUCGCUACGUGAGCAAUCAUGUGGUGGUUCUAGUGGCGUACGGGUGAGUAACACGUGGGUAACCUGCCCUGGAGACCGGGAUACCCUCCCGAAAGGGAGGCUAAUACCGGAUACGUUCCCCAGACCGCGAGAUCAGGGGAGGAAAGGUGGCGCAAGCUACCGCUCUUGGAGGGGCUCGCGACCUAUCAGCUAGUUGGGAGGUGACGGCUCACCAAGGCGAUGACGGGUAGCUGGUCUGAGAGGACGACCAGCCA